rnacentral:rRNA from 1 species
GCACCACGAACGGGUGGAGCCUGCGGUUUAAUUGGACUCAACGCCGGAAAUCUUACCGGGACCGACAGCAAUAUGAAGGCCAGGCUGAAGACUUUGCCGGAUUAGCUGAGAGGUGGUGCAUGGCCGUCGUCAGUUCGUACUGUGAAGCAUCCUGUUAAGUCAGGCAACGAGCGAGACCCACGCCAACAGUUGCCAGCAUGUCCUCCGGGAUGAUGGGGACACUGUUGGGACCGCCUCUGCUAAAGAGGAGGAAGGAAUGGGCAACGGUAGGUCAGCAUGCCCCGAAUUAUCCGGGCUACACGCGGGCUACAAUGGUCAGGACAAUGGGUAUCGACACCGAGAGGUGGAGGCAAUCUCCUAAACCUGUCCUUAGUUCGGAUUGUGGGCUGCAACUCGCCCACAUGAAGCUGGAAUCCGUAGUAAUCGCGUUUCAAAAUAGCGCGGUGAAUAUGUCCCUGCUCCUU